CAGGAAAGCUGGAUGAUCGCUUGGCAUGUUAAAUGCUGGGAGGAAAGUCCGGACACCAACAAGCAUCGCGCUCCCCGAUUCGGUUCAGCCGGCGAAGGGGAGGCUUGAUGAGAGGAAUCUCAUCAUGAUAGACAGUGCAACAGAAAACAAACCGCCACAGCGCGGAACGCUGGAAUAUUUCAAAUCACAAACUCCAAUGUUCAAAAAAAGAUCAAUCAUUGGAAUUUGACACUUGGUUCUUGGAAUUUCCAACGCUCCGCGUUGGGGUAAGGGUGAAAAGGUGAGGUAAAAGCUCACCGCCCCAAGGGCAACUGCGGGGGCACGGCAAACCUCGCGAGGUGCAAGUUCAUGCAGAUGGUAUAUGCCGCUUGUCGUUACGCCAUCGGGUGGAACGCGACAGACAAAUGAUCAUCCCCGACAGAAUCCGGCUUACAGGCUUUCCUGCUUG
rnacentral:RNase_P_RNA from 1 species